GACGAACGCUGGCGGCGUGCCUAACACAUGCAAGUCAAAGGGAAGCAUCUUCGGAUGUAAGUACUUGGCGCAAGGGUGAGUAAUGUAUAGGUAAUCUGCCCUUUGGACUGGGAUAACCCCGAGAAAUCGGGGACAAUACCAGAUGAUGCAGCGGAACCGCAUGGUUAUGUUGUUAAAGAUUUAUCGCCAAAGGAUGAACCUAUAUCCCAUCAGGUAGUUGGCAGGGUUAAAGCCUACCAAGCCUACGACGGGUAGCUGGUCUGAGAGGAUGAUCAGCCACAUUGGAACUGAGACACGGUCCAGACUCCUACGGGAGGCAG
rnacentral:rRNA from 1 species